rnacentral:lncRNA from 1 species
GGAAAAGCGGUACAGUGCUUAUAGAAAAAUCAAGCAGCAACCAGUUCUUGUUAGCCUUAUGAUUGUGAUGUAUAGGUUUUGUGAUGAAAAGAUGGGCUCUCGCUCACCAACGGCUUAGGUUGUUGCUUGUCGAAUUCAAAUUUGAAACUGAACUCUCUGGAUUUAAACAGGUCUUUAAACAGAUCCCUCAAUCCCCCACAUUUAAACAGGUCUACCAAU